UUAAGCGCGACAAACGUGGCACGGUAGUCGGUGUUUUGUCGCGUCUCUGGCUGGUGUGUUUUCCACUAUUAAGUAAAGCCGAAGUGUGGUUACAGUUGUGUUGGUGAUGAUUUCUCUAUCCCCCCACUUUAUCCCCACCGAUUCACCUCUACCAUACGAGGCUCCGCCUUCAGCCUUCGUUCUAGCUUGGCAAAACUACUCGUUUUAGGAUUUCACGCUGUUAUCUAUCCCCUUCCACGUCGCUGAGUGAGAAAUAGCGUGAUACUGCCUUUAUGGACUGGCGGGGGAUGACGACCUAUUACUCGGAGAGGCAGGAAUCUUGCCACAUAGAGAGGCAAUACGGUGUCUUGGUACUGAACUAUCUUGCAGUAGAUUCGCUGAGGAUCUGCCAACCUGCUAGACUCGUCUUCUUACAUAAGGAUCCAAAAGUUUCAGUCAACCACUGAGAAAUUACUACUCGGUACAUCCGUUAUUAUGAACGUAUCUGUUCGAUCCAGCGCAAAUCCCCUAAUGAACUCGGCGACGUACGCCUGGGUAUCGUUGAAUCUGUCAAAUAUGGCUACAACCAAAUUACUUAUGGAUGACACGUGCUUCGACCCUGGCAAACGCGGCUCCGAAAUUUUUCAAGGAAAAAAUCCGCGUCAAGGGCCGUACGUAGAAUAGAAGCGAGGGAGAAGUUAAGGUUGGGGAUGGCAGAAGGAUGUCCCUUAAAUGAUUGACGGACGGUUAGGCCACAAGCGGUCAGGAGAUGGGCCAGUGGUUCCCAAAUGUUCUCUAUAGCGUUAGGAUUACCGAGAUAAAGCUGAUAAUUGUGAUUGAAGGAGAAAUUGUAGACUAGUUUAGACUAGAUACUUUCUAUAAUAUUGUCGUAGAGAUAAGAUACAGGUAUUCUUAUCAUUUGCCAGGACGGUCCCAUCUACAAGUAGCCACUCGAUGAUGUCCUCAGUUUGGGACUCUUCCAAGAAACAAUAUCCUAAACCGAUGACCAGGAGUUCAACGAUUGCAAUGUUACGUCAAUUCGAGGAUCUCUUAUGACGUAAUAGUCGUCGUUUUAAUCCUUUAUUUAAGAUGGAAUGACCUUCUGUAAUAGGUCAUUGAAAUCGCCUAAAGAUCUAUCAUUCUCAGAUAGACAAAAAACAGAGUGGACUUGGAAUUCUCUGAGAUCUCUGCUACGUUAUGUUCUUUGCCUUUUUUAUCUUUAUUAUAAAAUAAAGUUAGUGAACCAGCCUUUCGUAAAUGACUGACUGCUUGUAAUGGGCGGAUAUAUGUAUACGCCUUCCGUAAACGACUGACUACUUGUAAUGGGCGUAUAUAUACGCCUCCCUUGAAUGACGGAUCAUUUUUAGAGAGGGUAUAUAUCCGUCCGUCGAAGGGAGAAGGUUUAAAUUAUCGGAACGAUUGCGCAUCCUUUAUGAAAGGUUUAAAGAAUACUUGUCCGAACGGAUAAGUUCCGUGUCCGCGCGGCUAAUAUAAAUCUACCAGCGCGUAAAAGUGGAGAACAUUCCGGCAUUGCGUCGCGUGUCUCUUCCGUGUCUGUGAGGGUCAAGGCCAUACAACGACAUACGAACACACUCGGAAUACGCAUUUAGAUUCUUGGCAUCACGCUAACGCGUCGUCUCGCGACGCACCAAAGACUACGCGUACAAUUUAGUAGCCUUACGAACAAUAAUUUUCCCAGUUAUCCGUUGACGCAGUAGAGUCACACGAUAAUUUUCUUACCACAGAAUUCCCUGUUAGAAUCGAUGUUCGACGAUACCUCGAAGGGAUCGCUAUCGUAUAAGGGGUAGCUAUUGUAAUAUGUAAAGUUUGCUUGGAAAGUUGUAAGAAGAAGCUUCAAAAUAUCCAUCGCUACCCCGCAAGGGUGUAACUGUGUUAGACCGAAGAGAGACAGCAGGAAUAGUGGCAGAGCAUAGCGCAUUAGAGGCUCCUCCCUCUGACAAGAGGGAGGUCAGAGCGGUGCUCUGUCCAGCAGAGCCGAUUUCGGAGCCGCACAGCUCCACGCUUCUUCUGUGUAUUAGAUUGUCUGUGUGUUACGAAAACACAGGAAGAGACGAGUGAUGGGAGACUAAACUGUAGGGAAGGAAGAGACCUCGACAGAGUGAAAAAAUUUUCGGGGCCGAAUGAACACUACACUCGCUGUCUUCUUAUGCGAGUAUACGUUACGCACUUGCCUCUAAGUCAAAGAGUAGGUUCGAUAAGUGUAUGGAUGCUGUUACUGUGUUAGAAAGCGAUGGUCAGACUAAACUUCAGGGAUUCCUCUCCUGGACAGCACUGUUAUGACUCAGUGCUGCUACGAGCCUUGAAGGUGCUUUUACACUUUCUGUUUACACUUAGGACAACUGUAUGUACACCUGGGUGCAACAUAGGCUCCCUUGGUUAAGGGAGGAGAUUUCCACCACUUGCCUUCGAUCUUGGAAGAAAGCGGGGAGAUUUCAGAAAAAUCUAAGAAGAGUCGGGAAAGUCGGGAGAAACAAGAGAAACAAGGCAGGUAGUGGAAGCCUAAGUUUUUUUAUCUAUUUUAUUAACUGCUAAUUACAAUUUGAAAAAUAGUCGUUUUGCAGCCUAUAUUACGAAGCACUUAAAUAUAAUUCAAUUAAUAACUUUCAAUUGAGUAGAAAAAGGAAGAUAAAAUUGCAGAAGUCGUAAAAUGAAUAACACUUGUCAUCAUUCUAUGUCAAUGAAACUAUAUUACCAUAAUAAUAAAGAAGGUUUAACAACA